rnacentral:misc_RNA from 1 species
CACUUCCCCUACAAUUUCAUGCCUGCACAUCGCAUUCCAUUGUUACCAAAACUUAAUUGAAAAAUGUUUAAUGUAAAUAUUGAAAUAAAUUAUUAAGAUAUCAUAUAUCUGGAACUUAAAACUGAUAAUUUUGAAGACAGACUCAAAUAUUGAACUAAAACUUAGCCCCCAUUUGUUACAUGAAAAAAUUUUUCUUAACGUGUUUUCUAAUAUUUGAG